rnacentral:rRNA from 1 species
GAUGAACGCUGGCGGCGUGCCUAAUACAUGCAAGUCGAGCGAACGGACGAGAAGCUUGCUUCUCUGAUGUUAGCGGCGGACGGGUGAGUAACACGUGGAUAACCCACCUAUAAGACUGGGAUAACUUCGGGAAACCGGAGCUAAUACCGGAUAAUAUUUUGAACCGCAUGGUUCAAAAGUGAAAGACGGUCUUGCUGUCACUUAUAGAUGGAUCCGCGCUGCAUUAGCUAGUUGGUAAGGUAACGGCUUACCAAGGCAACGAUGCAUAGCCGACCUGAGAGGGUGAUCGGCCACACUGGAACUGAGACACGGUCCAGACUCCUACGGGAGGCAGCAGUAGGGAAUCUUCCGCAAUGGGCGAAAGCCUGACGGAGCAACGCCGCGUGAGUGAUGAAGGUCUUCGGAUCGUAAAACUCUGUUAUUAGGGAAGAACAUAUGUGUAAGUAACUGUGCAAAUCUUGACGGUACCUAAUCAGAAAGCCACGGCUAACUACGUGC